rnacentral:lncRNA from 1 species
CCACCGUCCCAUACUUGUCCACCUCGGGCAUGUUCAUGUCGUCGAUGAAGUAGACGAGCUUCUUAGUGCCUGGCGGCCCGUAGUUCCUCCCCGAUUUCUUCUCCAGCGGCUUCUCCAGCACCCCUAGAGAGGGCAGAGGGUCAGCUGCCCGCCUGCGCCUCCUGAGCCAGAGCCUGUUAGGUAGGGAGGGGCGCUACCUGCUUCCCCGGAGGACAGAAGGUGGGACCUGGCUGGGAUCCAAGUUUACCAAAGCCCUACCCUCCAGCACUCCAAGGCAGGACUCGCCUCACUUCUGGCGCCUCCUGCUGCCUCCUCCAUACCUCAUUGCCAUCUGGCUCUGCCCUCAACACGCCCUGAAGCUGUUCUCCCUGAGUGAUGGAGAUGCGCCUAGCUCCCAAAUGCAAUGGGAACUCUUCUGUCCUUGGCUUGACUCUGGGUGCCAUCCUACUGAGAAAACCAGCUUUUUUCAUCACUCUCUACAUCUUUCCUGGAGAGCCCAGCUCCCCAGCAUGGAAUAUCCUGGGGUUGGACACACAUGGCAGGAAAUCCCUUACUCUGUCAAUCACCAGCCACGUGUCCAAGCCCGAAAAUAUGCCUCUGGAAUCAAUAUCAAGUCUUCCAUUUCUCCAGAUUUCAGAUAUUUCUUAAACCCAUCCCUUCCUCUCUGAUCCCUAGAGGCCCCCAUCUUGCUGGCAUGACCAGCUGCUUUUCCCUCGUCACAUUGGAAAGGGACACUUGCACCUUGGCCCAGCAUCAGCGCCUUCCCGUCAGGAGCAGCCUCCGCCUUUAUGCUCUGGCCAGGAGAACCCGACCACUGCCCAUCCGGCAAUGCCCCACUCCCCACCAUGCCCUGUGAACGCGGGUUCUUGUCUGGUGUGCUUCUCUGUUUUCACCCCUUAGAGGCAGCCUGACCCUUUGGAUGGCAGCCCAAACUUCAAUCACCUGGGAAGACUUCCCACCUCCACAGAGGCCAAGACCUCCCUUCCCACACCAGCCCUUGUUCCCUGGCACUUUGUGCAAACAUCCGUUUGCUCAGCUGCCCUGCCUCGUGUCACUGUGAAUUUACACCAUUUAUUCCCAGGUCUCUCACCCCUUCACUGCUGUGACACUGGUGCCUGGUGAGGGCCUGAUACACAGUUUGUGACAUGAAUGAUGAAUGAAUAUGCAACUCUGAAACAGGCCAACAAGUUCGUUUUUCCCUGCCGAGGUUUGGAACAGGAAAGCCAAAGCCCCACUCACGGGUUCCAUCCCAGGUCGGCUGG